rnacentral:rRNA from 1 species
GACGAACCGGACAAACGUUAUUCGGACUCACUGGGCUUAAAGGGUGCGUCGGCGGCGCGGCAAGUUGGGUGUGAAAUCCCUCGGCUCAACCGAGGAAUAGCGCCUAAAACUGCCGUGCUCGAGGGAGACAGAGGUGAGUGGAGCUUAGGGUGGAGCGGUGAAAUGCGUUGAUAUCCUAAGGAACUCCGGUGGCGAGAGCGACUCACUGGGUCUCUUCUGACGCUGAGUCACGAAGGCUAGGGGAGCGAACGGG